GGCAGGGGAAAGAGAGCACGCCCACCCUCGUCCUAACCAGGGACAGUCCCGGGUGUCACGCUGGCUUGUCUUCCUGUGUUGGGAGCUGCAGAGAAAGUACGUGGACGGCUCUGGCCAUGGAUUUCAAUCUGGGGAAUGACACCUGGGUCUCAGGAGGGGCCUGCUCGAGUCGGAAACUCAUGUCCAUGGAGGGUAGGGUCCCCAGAGACUUCUACAACCACGUUCAAGCCACAGAUGGAGGUCACAGGUGGCCUUGCUCAGUGGCCCUACAUUACCUCCUUGCCCAGAAGCUACAAAUCGAUGUGCACAGACAAGAAAAUCCACUUUGGGCCUCGUCCCAAAGAGCCAGAUGUUCCCUGGGAUGGAUGUCAUGCAUCUUCAGGCAAGCCAGGAUGACAUCUGGAGCAGGUGACAUCUGCCAGAGGCAUGCUGUGUGACCGCUGUGGUCUAAGGUAACAUCCUGGCAAGCCAGUGGACUCACAGAGAGGAAGGGCAGUCUGGGUCACCUGCCUGUCGUGGGAAAGAAGGCAGGAAAAGCAGAAGAGCCCGCCAGGUUCCCGCCUGAGAGGACACCGCCAGCCUCCUGUGGCACCUGCCUAUGCUCAGGGAUGAUUCAUUCAUUCAAUCUAUCCCUCAUUUCAGCCAAACUCAGGGCUGGUUUGGCCCAGGGUUGAGAGCUAAGAGGAGAGUAGUGGGUUGGGCAUGGGGGCGGGGGGGCUCCUCUUUGACUUCUAGGCAGGGGAAGUGGGCCUUGAGGACCAAGGGGACCCAAUUUCUCUGCAAUAGGCAAACUGGCCCUGGGGCCACUCCACCUGGACCCACACAAAGUAAAAGAGGCUUGGGGUAGGCAGCAAGGAGUGGGCUUGGAAAAGAUACCACACACCAGGGUCCUCAGUGGUGGAAUAGUCCUUGAUGCACGGGCCGUGUCUACAGUGUGUGAUAGCGGGGUAGGACCCCAAGCUGGGGCUGCAGGAGGAUAUGAGGGGAUAGAGGUGAAGAGCUCCCUGCAGGUACUCCUCCCUGGCUUUCUCCCCCUGUUCUGGAUUCUUCCCAGAAAGCAGGUCCCCACCCGCUGCCCCUUUCUCUCCUGAAUUGGUUCUGGUUUGGGCAGCAUCGGAAUGCUUGGGACCCGAUGCAGAGCCACUACACCUCCUGCAGGGUCUUAGGAGAAUCCUGGUGGGGAGUCUCUUCCCGGGGACCCCACCUCCCAUCAGGCGCACUGGGGAGGAUUCAGAUCACUCUGGGCUAUACGCUCCCAUUUCCCAUCUGUGGUUCACAUAGGGAGAUGCUCAUCUGGCCUCGGCUUUCCUGAAUGCCAGCUCCCAGCACCUGCUCUUUGGAGUGAGCCAGGGUGAGGGCGUGAGAGGGAGCUCCAGUGGGGUCCCUGACGGGCCCUCCUCCCCUACUUAGAGAGGUCUCCGGGCUGUCCUCCCACAGCGCCCUGUCCUGGGGACUGGGGGACAGGACUGCCACCUGUGCUGUGUCCCCCUGUGCUGUGGGAGGGCCAUGGUCCCAAGGACCACCUCUGAAAAGGUUUCCCUGAGGAAGCACCACUGGGUCCUUGCCAGGAACACAUCCUGGCCCCACAGUGGGGUUAGCAUCGAGGCCAGACUCCUGGCCUGUGAGAUCCUGCAUGACAGGCUCCGCCCAGCGCCCCACUUCAUCUCCUGCUCUCCCCAAGCUGCUCUCUGAAUUUCAGCUCUACUCAUGUCCCUUCAUCCAAACUGGACUCUGGCCAGUUCUUUGUGGCCACGGCUGCCUGUUGAUCAUGAUUCUCUUCCAGAAUAGAUCAUUCAGGUAAUGAUCUAUUACACGUGCUUAUUUUAUUAUCUGAUUUUAAGAUAAGGACGGGGACCACAUCCGGCUUGUUCCCUGCCAGGAAUCCCGUGCCCAGCACACAGUAGGCCCUCAGCUGACUGCACCUGUGUUGCCACUCACAGACCUUUUUGCUUUGGGUCUCCACCUACUGGGUCACCAUGGGGUGCGGCCCAUGCCUUGCACCCAGCUGUAGGCAUCCACGACUGGCACCCCUGCCCCUGAGCUCUGGAGCUGAGUUGACAAUGUAGAAACGGCGCCUGGGUGCAGACACUCCCGGAACGGGCAUCUGCCCAGGCUCCUCCUUAAACACCAGUUGCCAUCUCAAAAGCCUGCUUUCCAUCCAAUAAGACCAUUGAUGAGAAUGUUGGUUGAAAUCCUCAGAUGUUUGGAUGUGAGUUCAGGGGCAGGUUGGGCUGGGAGUGUUUCCUUAGAAGGCACGACUGUACCACCUCCAGCUCUGGAGCCUUUCAACGUGGUACGCGGUGCAGGAAAACAGAAAUUUCCAUCUUAGCACGCUUUUGAGGCAUCAGAGCCAUUGAGAUCUCGUGUUCGGAUAUUCUUAAAGCAUUAGUCCUUCACAACCCAUUUUGAAAGGCCAGUUGGAGGAGGAAAACCAUUAGUAGGUUUGGUACCUAUUUAUUUUUGGGUGGAAACAAAGGCCGCCAGCAGAGCUGCUGUUAAACGCGACAUUCCCACAGCAGGGCUGGAACGUUAAAAGGGUGAGCGGCAGGAUUUAUUAACCUGGGCCUGAUUCGAAUGCCUGGCGGUAUUCACCACCUUAGCCUUGCGGUGCUUGUGGACUUAGCACAUCAGCACCCUUCCCUCCGUGCUGUGGACCUCGGGGGCCAGCACUUCCCUCCAUGUGCAGCCAGCAGGUUGAGGGACCGUGAUGUGUCAUCACUCUGGGACUUGGGGAGAGAGCGUCACCUGAGCCACACUUUGGGACCCUGGAGAAAAGGGAGUUUAUAGUAGGAUUUGUAGACCCUUUUUCUUCAUUGGCUUUCACUCCCCAUCCCCGACUUGAAUACAAGCUCCUCAAAGGCUGUGUUGUUUGAGGCUUUAUCCCAAGUGCCUAACGGUGCUUGACACAAACCAGGUGCUCAUUCACCAUCUGUUGGAUGCAUGAAGGAAAAGUUGGAUGGGUAGGUGGGUGGCUGGAUUGAUUGGGGGAUGGAGUGAAGCAUGGGUAGGUGAAGAAGGGGUGGAUGGAUGGAUGGUUAUAUAGAAGGGAUGAAUGGAUAGAAGGGAUGGAGAGGGAGAGGAGGAAGGACGUGCUGUUGAUAUUUCAACUGGGUUGAAAAGUUGGGUUAGAGCACAGCUUCUUCUACCCAAAGUUAUGAUGACAGGAAGGAGACGAAUGAGCUAUGAAAAGUGAGAACAGUUAAAGCACCCGGCGAAGCACCUCCCCCCUCACAUGUGUGCAUACACUCGCACACACCACAUACCACAUAUGCUUGUUCCUUGUCACGGAACAGAGUUAUACACUCAUGACCUUGUCUAUAUGCUGAGGACCUUGUAUGUCCUCCUAAAACUAUUAUAUAUGAUUUCAUGUCAAUUUUCUAUUUUUAGCUUAACUUUGUAUUGGGGGUGAUGGUAUCCAUCCAUCUACUGCUCCAUUCACCCAUCCAUCCAUUCACUAACGCACCCACCCACCUAUACAUCUAUCCACCUAAACAUCCACCCAUCCACCUAUCCACCCAUCCACUCAAUCACCUACUCUUAUCCAUCCAUCCAUUUAACCAUCCUACAUUUAUCCAUCUAGCCACCCACAUCCAGAUACUCAUCCAUCCAUCCAUCCACCCAUCUAGCCUCAUCCACCUGCUUACCCACAUCUAUUUAUCCAUCUUUCCAUUUAUCCAUCCAUCUGUCCAUCUAUCCAUCUAUUAAUUUUACCACUUAUCCAAACUUCAUAUUCACUUAUUCACCCAAAUUUCACAAGGACCCCACCAGAUGCCCAGCUAACCACUUACUACAGAUGUUAGACAAGUGAAUUAACCUCUUGCAGCCUAUUUCUCCAUCUUUUAAGAGGGGACGAUCCACAGUGACUGGAGAAUGAGUCAACAGGAACUACUCUUCGCAGGUGUUAAGUGGACAUUAGCACCAUUGCCAGUCCUUGCUUUUACUGGAACGGGUAACAGGCUGCCUGUGUGAGCCAGCUGUUUCCAGCUGGCACCAGAGUGUGUGUUACUGGGCAGAGAAGUCAAAGUGAACACAGCUCCAAUCUGGGGAGCUGUGUUUCUUGAGACAUUUUGCAGAUGGUCAGUUCCCUAACCCAUCAAUCCAUGCCUGGAAAGGCUUUGCCAAAGAACAGGAGAAAAUUAGCUCCUGUAGACCAGAGCGCACGCAUGGUUCUAAGCACCAGCAGUGAUGUGCAAUCCCCCACAACAGCUAAAGCAUCUUCUCAUUCUAUGUUAAUUUGAACCUCCCCAAAGUCCCAUUUUACAGAUGAGAAAAUGGAGGUUCCACAAAGAGUGAUCUAGACAGAAAUACAGAGCUGAUCUCAUAUCCCAGCUCCUUGACUCUAGCACUGGGCUCCCUGUGGGCUCCCUGCUCCAUGCAGUGACGAGCCCUGAGAGGGAAGGUGUCUUAUCCUCACAAUGUCCUGUUUUAUGCACUGUGUCCCAUAGCACCAGGAGCCAGCACCCCACCAUGGCUCAGGGUUGGGAGUGCCAACCCCUCUCGGGAAAGGAAGCACAGGGGGCCAUGCUGGGGCGCCUCCAUCCUGCCAGCACAGUGAGGAUGGUCUGAAGUUCCCUACCCCAAACUGUCAACAUUUCCCUUGUGUUCCAUCCAAGAACAGCCAGAUGGAAUUCCAACCACGUUGUUUUGACUGUUGUCUCUUCAGUGUUAAAGCUCAGACCCUACCUCACCCCCAGUACUGUCAGCAUCGUCCCUCUCUCUGCCCUGGAGCCAGGAAGAUGGGCAUGAAGCCACAGCGUCCACCGCUCUCUGCGCUGUGGCCCCAGCAUGGACUCUGGGCUCUGUCCUGCUUCUGAUGCUCCAGAAAUAGCACCCCACACUCCACAGCUGCCCGCCCCCAUGGGGUCCUGAGAAGAGAUCUGGGAAUGGAUGGUCAUCAGGAUGUCCCCUCCCACUGGCCACAGUGACACUAGCUGGGGCACCAGCAUGAGCCAGGACGUUUGUGGACUGGACAAGUGAGAGGUACCAAGCACCAGCUUCGUGCAGUUGCUCCAACACUCCCUAUGGAGACCCAAAGAAACCAACUGGAGUUGGGUUUCUGCCCAUUUGCAAGCCUAAGACCACCCCUGGCUCCAAGAGGAAGAAGGUGGGGAUGGGGAAAACACCAGGAACUCCUGAGUGAUGGGUAACAGCUCUGUGUCUCCUUGCUCAUACUUCCCACUGUCCGCUCCAGUCACACGGGACCCCUUGCCCCCACCCUGAUGUCCAGCCAGCCCACCUCCUUCCCCACUUCGGAAUCUUUGCUUCUCUAUGGAAACCCCCACAUGCCCUACGGAGGUUUAGAGGCUCUGUUGGGGGUGCCUGUGGCUCCGUGUCCUCAACUACACCAACCCUGGGAGCUCUCAUCCCUCCUAUCCUCACUUCUGGGUGGGGACAUAGCAUUUGCUUCCUCAUGGUGAGCACCCAGCACACAGGAGACUGGUAAUACAUGACCUUGUGCAACCAAUGAGAGAGCAGAGUCUGAAUGUCCCCA